UACGGAGGGGGCUAGCGUUGUUCGGAAUUACUGGGCGUAAAGCGCGCGUAGGCGGCUUUGUAAGUUAGAGGUGAAAGCCCGGAGCUCAACUCCGGAAUUGCCUUUAAGACUGCAUCGCUAGAAUCAUGGAGAGGUUAGUGGAAUUCCGAGUGUAGAGGUGAAAUUCGUAGAUAUUCGGAAGAACACCAGUGGCGAAGGCGACUGACUGGACAUGUAUUGACGCUGAGGUGCGAAAGCGUGGGGAGCAAACAGG
rnacentral:rRNA from 1 species